AGGACGAACGCUGGCGGCGUGCUUAACACAUGCAAGUCGAGCGGUAAGGCCUUUCGGGGUACACGAGCGGCGAACGGGUGAGUAACACGUGAGUAAUCUGCCCUUCACUCUGGGAUAAGCACUCGAAAGGGUGUCUAAUACCGGAUACGACCGUCCCUCGCAUGAGGUGGUGGUGGAAACUUUUGUGGGUGGGGGAUGUGCUCGCGGCCUAUCAGCUUGUUGGUGGGUAAUGGCCUACCAAGGCUUCGACGGGUAGCCGGCCUGAGAGGGUGACCGGCCACA
rnacentral:rRNA from 1 species